CACGCAGGCGGUUCGAUAAGUUGGAUGUGAAAGCUCCUGGCUUAACUGGGAGAGGUCGUUCAAUACUAUCGGACUUGAGGAUGAGAGAGGGAGGUGGAAUUCCGGGUGUAGUGGUGGAAUGCGUAGAUAUUCGGAGGAACACCAGUGGCGAAAGCGGCCUCCUGGCUCAUAACUGACGCUCAUGUGCGAAAGCUAGGGUAGCAAACGG
rnacentral:rRNA from 1 species